rnacentral:rRNA from 1 species
CCUACGGGGGGCAGCAGUGGGGAAUAUUGGACAAUGGGGGGAACCCUGAUCCAGCCAUGCCGCGUGUGUGAAGAAGGCCCUCGGGUUGUAAAGCACUUUCAGUGAGGAAGAACGCCUGGUGGUUAAUACCCAUCAGGAAAGACAUCACUCACAGAAGAAGCACCGGCUAACUCCGUGCCAGCAGCCGCGGUAAUACGGAGGGUGCGAGCGUUAAUCGGAAUUACUGGGCGUAAAGCGCGCGUAGGUGGCUUGAUAAGCCGGUUGUGAAAGCCCCGGGCUCAACCUGGGAACGGCAUCCGGAACUGUCAAGCUAGAGUGCAGGAGAGGAAGGUAGAAUUCCCGGUGUAGCGGUGAAAUGCGUAGAGAUCGGGAGGAAUACCAGUGGCGAAGGCGGCCUUCUGGACUGACACUGACACUGAGGUGCGAAAGCGUGGGUAGCAAACAGGAUUAGAACCCCAGUAGUC